rnacentral:lncRNA from 1 species
GCCUCUUAAUUUAUUUUCUUAUCUUAAUAGCUAGUAGAUUAAAGCUUGAUUAGUAAUUUUUCCUUCAAAGCUAAAAAAAUUCUUUUAUUACUUUAGAAAAGCCAUGAAUUGAUAAAAACAUAAUAGAAGAGAUAAAUAAUAAAUACAAUUCAUAAUAAGAUUAAAUUGAUACUAGGACUAGGCUAAAAAUCUCCUAAGAUAGAUUGGAUUGAUACCUCAAAGUCGACUGUUUAUAGAAUAGGAUCAAAAUUAGACCUCUAGCUACUAAAAUGGCUGCCUCGGAUAAAAUAUG